rnacentral:tRNA from 1 species
GAGACUUUAUCUUAAUUAAAGUAUUUGAGUUGCAUUCAUAGGAUGAAGGUUGAUAUCCUUCAAGUCUUA